CCAGCAUGAGGACCCUCGGCCUCCUUGCUGUCCUUCUCCUGGUGGCCCUCCAGGCCCAGGCUGGGCCCCUGCCAGAGGAAGCUGAGGAAGCUCUAGACCAGGAGCAGCCUGGGCCAGAGGAUGAGGAUCUGGCCAUUUCCAUCAGAGUGCAUGAAAACUUCCUCCUUCAAGAUCCAGCAAGGAGAAUGAGGUGCGUGUGCCGACCAUUCUGCUUGCCUGGGGAGAGACGCCGCGGCCGCUGCUUGAGAAUCUUGUCGUCAUGCUGUCGCUGAGACUGCGAGGUGGAGAGGGCAGACACGGCCUGCUGGGAGAGCUGAAGCGCACAGCUCUCACUCCUCCACCUGGUGCUCAAUUUGCUUUCCCCACCCCAAAUACAGUAUUUGUUGCAAUA